UACAGAGGUCCCAAGCGUUGUUCGGAUUUACUGGGCGUAAAGGGUGCGUAGGCGGUUGGGUAAGUCUGAUGUGAAAUCUCCGGGCCUAACCCGGAAACUGCAUUGGAUACUAUCCAGCUUGAGAGUUGGAGGGGGGACUGGAAUACUUGGUGUAGCAGUGAAAUGCGUAGAUAUCAAGUGGAACACCAGUGGCGAAGGCGAGUCCCUGGACAACUUCUGACGCUGAGGCACGAAAGCCAGAGGAGCAAACGGG
rnacentral:rRNA from 1 species